rnacentral:lncRNA from 1 species
GAGCAGGCCAUUGACUCGUUCAAGGGUCUCGUGAUACCUAGUCAUCAUGGUGGUUUGUGUGAGUCAUGACAAGGCUUUGGCCAUACCUCAUAAUUGGUCCGGUCGAAUUGAACUUGCACCGCUUGGGCAAAUUCUGCCCACGAGUGUGGUAACCCUUUCCAGGUGGAAGGAGGCUAGUUAUAUUUGUAAGGGGUGAUCAGUCCUAUUGAAAUCGAACCGCCUUGAUAAAUACAACUAGGUGGGUCGUAUUCGUUGAAUUUAGGGAAAGGUGUACCUAUCUACACACCAUUUUGCAUAUUUACACACCAAAAAAGGUGGUGACUAUCUACACACUUGGUGUGUAGAUAGUUUGGCCCUUAGCUUGAGAUGCUAAUGGAAUAGAAUGGAAUUGGUGUUCCGCGGGAAAGUGUUGUGGUGAGAGGACUCAUCGGAGUCGUUGGUGUUAUAAGGUUGGCUAAGGGAUCGAACAACUGACAACUCUUUCAAUACGAUAUUCAAUGU